rnacentral:lncRNA from 1 species
UACCAAACCUCUUCACCUUGACCUAAAUUGCUUUCCCGAUUUGCUUAUGUCAUCACCCAAUGCGGACAAGGUUUUUAAUUUUGUACCUAUCUUCAUACACAUAUAAAAAGGUAAUGCAGUUUCGUACAUGUUCAAGUAAACAAAUGAUGAUUUAUUGAAUAAUACAUACACGCAGAAGAUGAUUGGGCGUUAUUUCCACGUAAUUCAAAGUUAAAUCACCAUAACACGACAAAGUGGCGAAUCGUGGCAGGAUCCACAAGCAAUAUUUAGUAGGUGUCAAGGGUACAAUAGAAAAUUCAUGUUGAGCUCAAUAAUUCAGAUUCAUGAUCACAAAUCCACAAUAUAUAAAGACCUACGACCGUGAACUUUGAAUAUCAAACACAC